UACGAAGGGGGCUAGCGUUGCUCGGAAUUACUGGGCGUAAAGGGCGCGUAGGCGGACAGUUUAGUCAGAGGUGAAAGCCCAGGGCUCAACCUUGGAAUUGCCUUUGAUACUGGCUGUCUUGAGUUCGGGAGAGGUGAGUGGAAUGCCGAGUGUAGAGGUGAAAUUCGUAGAUAUUCGGCGGAACACCAGUGGCGAAGGCGACUCACUGGCCCGAUACUGACGCUGAGGCGCGAAAGGCGUGGGGGAGCAAACAGG
rnacentral:rRNA from 1 species